rnacentral:lncRNA from 1 species
UCAUCUUUAAUUAGGUAUUUUCUCCAUGAGACUGUACACUUUUUGCUUGUUCAAUUAAAAUUUUUACAGGAAAAUAUUAACUGAAAUUCUUCCAUUGCCUCCUCUUCCAGGCAGGCAGCACGUGAGUGAAGUGAGAGGGAGUGGAAGAGAACAAUGAUGGGAAUGGAAGAAUGAAGAAGAGCCAGGUCUCCAUGGAGAGGAGGAAUACAAGACGAUCCUGAGGUAUCUCAUGCUGAAAAGUAAGAACAUUCUUAAAGAAUGAGAAAGCAUAUCAAAAGGACAAAAAGGCAGCUUGAAGGAGCUCCCACAUGUC